rnacentral:rRNA from 1 species
CGGGUGAGUAACGCGUGGGUAACCUGCCUUAUACAGGGGGAUAACAGUCAGAAAUGGCUGCUAAUACCGCAUAAGCGCACAGAGCUGCAUGGCUCAGUGUGAAAAACUCCGGUGGUAUAAGAUGGACCCGCGUUGGAUUAGCUAGUUGGUGGGGUAACGGCCCACCAAGGCGACGAUCAGUAGCCGACCUGAGAGGGUGACCGGCCACAUUGGGACUGAGACACGGCCCAA